rnacentral:rRNA from 1 species
ACGUACAAGCAGUGGGAGCCCCACCACCAAAGCAUUCUCUGGUGUUGAAGGCCCUGCAAAGCAGCAUCGCGGUGGCGGAGCGUCGUUUGCGACGCCCAACACACAAAACAAGCGGUGAGUGCUUUGGGGUGGGGUGACUGCGUACCUUUUGUAUAAUGGGUCAGCGACUUAUAUUCUGUAGCAAGGUUAACCGUAUAGGGGAGCCGGAGGGAAACCGAGUCUUAAUUGGGCGUUAAGUUGCAGGGUA